UAAUUUUAUAUCUUGUAGUGCUUUUGGGUUUAUGACUUUGUUUGCUGAUUGGAACUCUUAACGAGGGGGAGCCCGUGGAGGUGGAGUCGGCGCCAAGCAGCCAACAACAAAAAAUUAGUUUUGGACACAUUUGAAAGCCAAAAUGAGUCAAAAGAGUGCUGAUGCGUGGCAAAGGCCAGACAGGCGGAGAAGGAAGCGAGAAGAGGGCCCAGCCGAAGUUGAGGCACAGCACCGAGUAGAAGAAGCAGACGGCCAGCAGCAGAGGGCAGAAUGAAAUUCGAAAAAGGGGAGAAAUGAGAAAUGACAGACACGUCCGUUUUACACCCUCGCCGGGGCUGCCGGCAGAGUCAGGCCGCCGCAGCCAGCGUCGCCAAUUCCUGCGGCACGUACACACAACACACAUAUGCAUGUACAUACAUACAUACAUACAUAUGUACAUAUGUAUAUAAAUGACAGCGAGGUACAGUGAAUUUUAAAUAUGCACAUAUGCAGGCCCACUCAUCCGUCUGCUACAUUUUUCAUUUUAAGAUGGUUUUUUUUUUGCGAUAACAAAUUCGAAAUUGGUGACAGAAUAGCCACUGCAUGCGCCGCUGCCACGCCCCACAAACAGAGACACACAUGUGCAUGUGCAUGACUUGCGCGCAAGCCGUAGUUUUCGUGGGGAGGAUAUUAAGCAGCGUCAAAUGCGCCCCGCCCAAAGCAGUAGACACAUACAAGCAGACGUAUACAAAAAUGAAGUUAAAAAAAUGCCGGCCGGCUCGCUCAGGUAGGGAGAGGGAGCAAAAGAAAAGCUUUAACCCAACACACACACACACACAUAGAAGCAAACGGCGACAAAAGCGCUUCAACAGCUGCGUCUAACAAGAGGCGAGAGGGAGAGAGGGAUAGACAAAACCUAACGGAUCCGCCCCUCUCUCACUCCACCUCUUACUCAUCAUUUCUGCAAUCAAUGAAGAAGCGCAGUCAACAACAAAAAAAAACCAGUUAAGUGCUUUUCUACUCUCUUCUGCCUUCUGCUUCUUCUUGCAGAUUUCUUUUGGCCUGUGUCUGCCACAAUGGAUGGCGAAUUGAAAAGAAAUUGCCGGCCAACAAUUUAAGGGGAGGCGGACGGUGGGAGUGGAUGCGAAUUAAAAUAAAUAAAAUUAUACGCUCACCUUAA